GUGAACGCUGGCGGUAGGCCUAACACAUGCAAGUCGAACGGCAGCACAGUAAGAGCUUGCUCUUACGGGUGGCGAGUGGCGGACGGGUGAGGAAUACAUCGGAAUCUACUUUUUCGUGGGGGAUAACGUAGGGAAACUUACGCUAAUACCGCAUACGACCUACGGGUGAAAGCAGGGGAUCUUCGGACCUUGCGCGAUUGAAUGAGCCGAUGUCGGAUUAGCUAGUUGGCGGGGUAAAGGCCCACCAAGGCGACGAUCCGUAGCUGGUCUGAGAGGAUGAUCAGCCACACUGGAACUGAGACACGGUCCAGACUCCUACGGGAGGCAGCAGUGGGGAAUAUUGGACAAUGGGCGCAAGCCUGAUCCAGCCAUACCGCGUGGGUGAAGAAGGCCUUCGGGAUGUAAAGCCCUUUUGUUGGGAAAGAAAAGCAGCAGGUUAAUACCCCGCUGUUCUGACGGUACCCAAAGAAUAAGCACCGGCUAACUUCGUG
rnacentral:rRNA from 1 species